rnacentral:lncRNA from 1 species
AGCGAGAGAGAUGCGGGAGCAUCGACGUCAGGAUGCAUUUACGAGGGUGAUGCUGAUGUCUGGAGAUCACAAAGAGCAAAAACACGGAGAGGCGAAAAAAAAAUGGGCGAAACAACGAUCUCGCCAUGGACUUUGUGAGUGAUUACUUCCAUUCAUUCCACUUUUGUUCUAACUCUCUCUGUUCUUCCACUCCAGGAACGCGAAAGUAGGAGACCCAGCACCGAAAGAAAGGAAAAACUUCGCGAUCAGUUACAACCGCAUCCCCUUAAGUCGUCUGCAAGCUCUGGACAAAUUCUGGGUGGUCUUGGCGGGAUUUGCAGCAUUUCCUUUCGCUCAUCCUGGCCGUCGAAUCCAUCCGACGGCAGCCAGCCGAGCACACUUGUCCUAUAGAGAAGGUGCUGUAAGGUUUUUUUUGUUUUUUUUUUUUGGUCCUUGUGAAUUUUAUUUUUUUUUUGUGUUUACGUGCUUGCUCUGCAGACAUGGUUGGUGCCAUUGCUGCCUAGCAAGUUGUUCGCCGGUCACCUCAAGAACAGGCUUUUGCUCGCUCCUUUUCUCGGCUCUUCCAACUUUUUUCUAAGUGGAAGAGCACUUUGAUCCGGAAGCGCCAGUAAUCUAAUCGCUAGCUCCAAUGCUGCCACGGAGUUUUCUAUCAAUCCAUCGCGAGAGGGGUGUGUUUGGCGCUUUCGAUAGCUCACGUCUGGCUAGCCAAGGAGCGCGAGUUUUUUUUGGAGAUCAUGGAUAGAAUUCACAAAGAGUGUUAUUUACCUGUGGAAUGGAGAGUACAAAUUUUUCUUUUCUUUACACGAGAGCGAGGAGGAGAAACACAAAUGCUGCACGCUCGAGAGAAUCGAGAGUGUUAUUUGGAGGGCGCUAUCCUCUGAUCGAGAGAACCAAGCGAUAGAACCAAAAAGAAAACGUUGGGAAGAACUACAACGAGAAAACGAGAAAAGGGGAAAAAACUGCUCACAACUUCCACAAACCUGGGGAAAAUGCUGCCUCGCCUACAAACAAUCUUAUGGAGGAAUCGAGAUCGCCAAAUGGAAGGAGGAGGAAGGAAUCCAGCGGAAAGAAAGAAAGAAGUCCAAGGAAGAACGACGAAGAACUCUUCUCCUCCCCGCUUUUGUGCUGCUGCUACUUAUACUAGACCAGUGAAAAAGAAUAAAAAUCCCUCCUUUCGCUCCAAUCCACCCCUCCCCAUUCCAUUUGGGCGAUUCCCUCUUCUCCCAUGCUCCAAUCUAGUAGGUCUUGUAUGGAUCCUCUGCGAGGAGCUGCCUGGUGGUGGCAUCCAUCUUCAAUCCCAGAUCCAUGACGUGCUGCUGCUCCGCGAGGGAGAGAUCAUCCAUCUCCAUCGCCGAAGACAUGGCCCCUGCUCCAAUUCGUGCUCCCUGCGCUGCCAUGGGCAUCGCCGCCGCGAUGACAAUGCCAAUCAGCAGCACCAGCGCUGAGAUCUUCCUGAGAAUCGCCUGCAAUGCCAUCGCGCCGAAGAGAUUUCGCUGCGGGCUGGAAAGAAAUUCUUCCCUCACUCUCUCGCACAGAGCUCUCUCUCUCUCUCCCUGGCGAAAUAGGGUAAGCCCAGGGCCGGGUAUUUAUCUU